UUUGAAUUUACUUCCCCCAAAUCAUAGAUCCCCAAAUGAAGGAACCAAUUCCCGUCGGCACCCUUCCGUCUUUCUCACGCCGGUGACUACACUCCAUCACCGGUCCGAUUUCUCCCCAAACAAUUCGACGCAGCCUCCGUUCGGUCGAUUAAAGCCAUUUUGAAUUCCUCCCAAAUUUCAAUUCCGCCUGGCCGCUACUGCGGUCGGUCAACAACAGCCGGCACCGACUCUCCUUUGCGCACACACUCGUUGGACUCGCUUGCAGACAGCGGCCUCCGUCGCUUCGGAGUCGCUCCCUCCGUUCCAGUUGCACUCUCCUCGGUCUGGAAUCGCCGACGUCGCGCACACAAGCCGCCGCGUCGCAAGGCUGUCAUGCCGUCAGUCCAUCCGUCGGAUAUCAGGUGCCGCCGAGCGGUUGGAGGCACUCGAGAAUCCAUCGAGCAGUCGCUGCCGUCGGGGUCUCACUUCGGUCUCCAGCCAUAUCGGCUGCAUUGUCACAGUCAAUUUCGUCGGACAGCCGUGGACUUCUUGGCUUAGGUUGACUGGCCUCUAUGUGGAAUUCUUCUCUUACAUUCUAUGUGUGAUCUUGCCUCUCGGGUGGGCAAAAUUGAACAGAUAUGUACUUACUUCUUCGUAUCCAGGAAUCUCACACCAUUCCCAAUGACAUGGUUCUUCUUCAUGCGGCUCUCGUAGCUUGCAGUCUACAAUUGUUGACAGUCAUUGUUUCUCCACAUUACCAAAGGUUGCUCAAGCAUUGACUGCGUAUUACAAGGUGUAUAUAUUCAAAGAGGCAGCAUUUGCUGCUGUUUGUGUAGAUGUCAAGUAUCUGCAGACCAACGAUUCAUCUAGAAGUGCAUCCCCUACUACUGAAGAGACCUUGAAUCAUCUCUGGCAGCAGUGUGAUUCUUCUCUUCAAUUUCUACAGCCCCUGUGUCAGCAAAAGUUGUUCCGGGAAUGCAUUGUUAACAACCAGGAGCUUGGGAAGGGGUGGACUGCAGAGCAACUAGCUUCCUGUGUUGGACUCGGCCAUGAUGAAAAAAGGAGUAGCUCUACUUCUCAUCUUUGUAGUCGUCAAAAUCCUGGUCUUUGAGGAUUCUGGAAAGACUUUCUGUUUGAGUCAGAUUGCAGAGCUGCUGUGUACCAAUCCUGUUGCGUUUGAGGCUAUUGAGAUAAUUCAGCAUAUUCUCGUGUUACUCUUAGUCGAUUUGAAGGCCUCUCUAAGCAUUUAGAUUCGUUCUUGCAAAUGUUAUCUCUCGUGGAACUAAGGUGUUUUCUGUGAUAGUUCCUAGUGCAUAAAUAGACUAGAAAGUACUUAGUCGAUCUGAAGGUCGAGGGUGGUAGUGGGCGACUGUGUUCUUAACUUAAAAGAUGAGGGGGAAACGGUGGAAAACUGAAGGCAAAAGUCUAUUUAAUUAUUUUUUAGCUUGCUUUGUGAUCUUCUGUUUCUUGGUUGUUGUGCCUCUAUUUUUCCUACUUAUUUAAUUCAUUCUUUGCUGCAUUUUGCAGCUUUAUAAUUGAUCUGUUACAUAUAUUAUAUUUUUGUUUGUUAUAUUGUGCCUGACGUUUUUCUACUUUUUCUAAUCCACUUUUUGCUACGUUGCAGCAUAAUUAAUUCAUACAUACAUAGAUAGCAUCCUAUUUUUCUUUGUCUCAUAUGCCCUAUACAAAUAUGUGCUAUAUAAGUGUUUCUUUGAUAUGUAAAACCCAUUGAUUGUCAAGUCUUGGCUUCUUAAUAUAUCUGUUAAAUGAUUUUAUAGGCUCUUUCCCAGUUACUUACUACACACAUUUCCUUUUUACUUUGGCAUUCAGUUUGCAGGACUUGCAUCUAAAAAAGAAAUCAUGGGCCUUGGAAACUGGUUGAGCACUCAAUUAGUGUCAAGUAAAGAUACUUUAUAUGAGGAAUGGAAAUUGCAGCUUGUUGCCACUAUGUAGUAAAUACUUUAACUACAAUAGAUGGAAUCUAGACUACGUCGAUUUCUGUAUAUUUGAGUUUGUUUUCUUUACCUGUCUGUUUGAUGAUUAUGAUUGAUACAACAAAUUCUGGUUUACUGAGUGAACAUAAGAACAGAUUAAUAGUGUUGUAAUAUACUAUUCAACUUAACUAUGAGUUGUAAUGUUACGCCGUUCUAAAAUUUUCAGCUUGCCUGUAAUGUUUAUCCUUUGUGAAUGCUGCUGCUUCAGUAUCAUUCAAUAAUCAUCACUUGUGACUCACCAUAUGCUGUGUAUUGCUGCAUCAACUUGUGACUCACCAUAUGCUGUGUAUUGCUGCAUCAA